rnacentral:rRNA from 1 species
UAGUCUGCAACUCGACUACAUGAAGCUGGAAUCGCUAGUAAUCGCGAAUCAGAAUGUCGCGGUGAAUACGUUCCCGGGCCUUGUACACACCGCCCGUCACACCAUGGGAGUUGGAAGCGCCCGAAGUCGAUGACCCAACCGAAAGGGGGGAGUCGCCGAAGGUGAAGCCAGUGACUGGGGUGAAGUCGUAACAAGGUAGC